GUCCAUGGGGAGCGGCAUCAGAUGGGGGGCACACACUAGCCACCUCGUGUGCAAGGAUAGGGGAGUCCAGCGACGGCGAGCGUUCUGUGUGGGGGAGGCGCUGGUGUGCGUGCGAAGGUUAGGGGAUAAAAAGAUCAGACGACUGUGGGCUGUUAAAUCAAACGGUAGGGGGUGGACCGGCCGAAAGUUUCGGCCGGCGCACCGGCGCCUAGCACCCGCCUUAGAUCUUUAUGAUAUUAUAUAGAAAAUCACUGAAUUGGUUUUGGCCAUCUCCACACGAUCUCAUCACAAAAGAUGAAGAGUUUCCUUCUUUCUCUCUCCCAGUACAUCUCGCACAAUGGCACAACCCUAAUAGCACGCAAACACCGUGCCACGCUGAUGCCACCUAUGCUUUCCGUUGGCCGUGAACUGAUUAAUACAUAAGCUAGCUUUGGAGGAGGCUGCUAGAUUGAUUCCAAUGGAGGUUAGCUACAACUAUCUCUACGGAUGUUACCUAGCUACAACAGGCCGAUGUAUUCUAGCUGGUUGGAUAACAGACGCGGCGUUGUUUCAUCAAAUCAUCGAUCAGUGGAGCAAAUCUACUGCUGGCCGGUCGACGUAUUCUCGACGGAUGAAGAACGCACAGGAGACCAGGGAAGGCAAGGCGACUAUGUUUUUGAUAAGGACGCGGAUGGCCAUCCGGUCCCAGUGCUUCUCUGAUGCGGUGCUAGAGUCUCCCCAUGCACUGGUCGGAAGCUGCGCCGUCGCCAUAGCAAUCAAUGUCAUCUGUCCAGCAGGAUCUUCGUAGGUGAACUAGGUUGGAGUCAAAUCUAUGGCUGACGGCAGAAUGGUUCAUCGGCUCAUCCACACAGACCUGGGGACGGUCACAUCUAUGGCACCACGCUGGAGAUCCACAUCACGAUGCCAUUGCCCACGCAUGCUGAACUAAUCGGGGAUGGGGCCUGAGAGGAGCAAUGGGCCCUCGCAGGAGCACAACACAACAAGGCCAUUGGGUACAAUCAGGAUUCCGGAGCCUUUGAUCAGAAGAUUAACAUAAUUUUCUUUGUCUUGCUAAGUGCAUCAGGAUCGUAUCAAGAUUCAUCCGAAAUCAGUUACUAGCAAACAGAGAAGCACUACUCUUCUAGGAAAUUAUCUACGCGGGUUCUUUGCCCCUAUGGUCUCACAAGAUUUUUGGUAAAUUUACAGCUAGCCAUGAAAGCAAUUGGUUCCUUGCAUCCUCCAUUUGACAGGUAGAACAUCUUUUGACUGCUCACCCGUACUUCUGUAUAGUAUAGCAUACAAUCUUUAGAUUUGUAUGUCUUUAAUUAAUAGUUCAGUUUUAUUGGUAUAUAGGAUAAUAAAUCGCUGUUAUGAUAUAGUAUAUGUUGCUUCUUACAUGCAAAUCUAAUUUUUUUGCUCCGCUAGAUAGUAAUUGGUCAAUGUAUUGUUCAGUUUGCGUUUUUAUGAAUUUGAUAAAAUUCAGUUGUAAGUUCUAAUUGGUAAGAUGCUAAAGUUUUCCUGCACUUCAUCCCUUUAAACGUAUAUAACAAUUAUAAGGAGGCCUAUAGCCUAUUAUCAGCCACGCGAGUGUCCCUUCCCUGACGUCUAUAUGCAGAUCUACGCUUCAUUGUACAUCCUGUUCUCUUCAACUCAACCCUCCACUGGUGUUUAUCGGGAGGCUGCAAACAUAUGUGAAAAUCGUUUGCUGGAGUAGUUUUUCUCAUAAGGCGCAGGCCGAUCCUGUAGCGUCGGGUCAUUAUGAUGCAUGCAACGAUGUGGUGUCCAAAGGUACGUUGUUGCCCUCCUAAAGAUCCGGUGCACUUGCUCACAAUAUCCAUGACAACGGAGGCUACUCUAUGUUCUCAUGACUAAUACUGCCUGCUUUGUAAUAUUUCGAACAUAUGUUUGUUUACGUGCUUGAUAGUGGAUCUUAAUUAAUCCUGGCCUUAGUUUUGCCAAAAUACUUUUAUCACCUUACAAUAUGCCAUGCUUAUCCUAGCAUCCGUGCCAUUUGUUUAACCCUUCAGCUGAGAAAGAUAGGGCAUAAGUUUUAGUGGUGUAUCUAUAUCCGAUUGUUUACUUGGUACCCAAUUUUUUAGUCAAAUGGUUAAUAAACAGAUAAUUUGUACUCACGCAAUUCGUGGUAAUAUGAGUGUGACCCGUGGAUGUUACAUAUGCACACCUCCACGAGGCUAACUGUUUUAGAUUAAAUUCGGUUAAGUUUUUUUUCCAAUCAUUUUUACUACUUCAACAGAAAAACAAUGAUGUGAUGGUCAACCAAGAUUCCCUGUUUAAGUAGACAACUUACGUUUCAUAUCAGUCCAUGGUUUACCUUUCGCCAUAUUUUACCAUACUGAUCUAAUUUUGUGGAAGUUUCAUUAAUUGAGAACUAACAACUCUAAGCAUAUUAUCUGUACUGUAUUUUUAAUUUCACUUGAGCGAUUUUUAGUGUUAAUUAUUUUUUCCAACCUUAAGUAUCUUAGAUUGAAUUCAUGGUCUUCGGUAAUUUGGUUUAUGUUGGAUCCAAGUGAUAAUGUUUUCAUAUUGUGCAUAGUCAUCUAAUUUUGUGAGAUUUGAAUACUACAAAUAGAUCAAUAUCUUAUGGUCUUUCCUACAGAAGCUUCAUUAUUCUCUAACAAUUAACAACAAAGUAUCUCUAUGUUAUUUUUUCAUUUGUAUUAUAAAAAAAUUAGUAUCAUUCUGAUUUUUUUCCAAUCACACAUUAACUGUCAGUCUUUAGCACUUUUUUUUAUCUAAAAUUCAAGUGACAAUAUCCACUAUUUUUUUUCUUUAGGUCCAGCUGGGCGCAAGUGCCUCUGUGUGUGUGCCAACAUCCUACUUUCGUCUCAUAAAAUUAGUUUAUUUGUUGUGUCACAACAAGAUUUUUUUUUGCUAGAUACAAACCACUGGUAGAACAGAGAAUGCUACUGCUACAAAGCAUGGUAAGGAAGGUGGCCGAGUAGAGGAAUCGGUGGAUGGUUGUGGCCUCGGCGUGUUUAAAACCAUUCAUUUCAUGGAUUUCCCAGUUUUACGCUGAAAAUUCAAGUCUAAUUUAGCUACGUACUGGAGGGAUUUCGGUACACGUAUCCUAAUUUGUAAGUUAUCUUUUGUAGGAAAUGCUCCUACAAUAUAAUAAUAUCAUUUUCAACUAGCACAUUCUCAUAUGAAUUUACACAAAUUGGAAGCUUUAUUACCCUCAGCGUAUGCAUCGUGGAUGCAUACAAACCUAAAUUAUUGUCAUUUUUCUUCUGUCACCCAGUAUAUAUGCGUGCUUUAGGCUUACACCUAUAUUUUUAGGCUAGCACAAAGUAAAUGCUUGGCUAUUAAAAUUAUUUUUUUGGGAUGUUCUACAAUAGAUACAAAUAAACUAAAGUAGUACGAUAUGUCUAUAGAUCCUCUCUUGCAUUCUAUAUAUAGUUCAAUAUGAC
rnacentral:rRNA from 1 species